GAAGCAGGUUGAGGCAACCCGAGGGGUAGAUGAAAGCAAACCACGAACCGGGUGGCGUCAGACCGGAGACUGGCAUCGUGUCCCCUUCUCCCUUCUCCCUUCUCCCUUCUCUGCUUCGCUGCCGCGCCCAAACCGACCUAAAGAAAAGAAUUUAUUGAGAGUAAGCGGCAGGGUUACAGAGAGAAUAAGGCCCUCUCGCUCGUUUUUGAAGGAGAGGGAGGAAGAGCUAGGGUUAGGGAUUCCCCACCCCCAUCUUGGUCCUCGCUUCGUGGCUGAUGGAGUCGUGGAGCUUCCCCGACGGCAACUUCGCCAAUCUAGUGGAGAGCCGGCGCAUCGACUCCCUCCCGGAUGUGAAUCGCAGAUUGCAACUUCAUUCAUCUUUGAUACAAAGGCUUGCCCUGGAGGAAGUUAUGGAGGGCCAUCAAGGCUGUGUUAAUGCAAUUGCUUGGAACUCAAAAGGCUCUCUUCUAAUAUCUGGAUCAGAUGAUACAAGAAUUAAUAUAUGGAGUUACAACAACUGGAGGCUUUUGCAUAGUGUUGAGACUGGGCAUUCUGCCAACAUAUUUUGCACAAAAUUUGUCCCCGAGACAUCUGAUGAACUUGUUGUGUCAGGGGCUGGAGAUGCAGAGGUUCGGCUUUUCAAUAUAUCUCGUUUAAAUGGGAAAAGAUCUAAAGAAAUUGCUCUAGAACCUGCAGCAUUGUACCAGUGUCACUCGAGGAGGGUCAAGAAGCUAGCUGUGGAAGUUGGAAAUCCUAAUGUAGUAUGGAGUGCGAGUGAGGACGGGACUGUGAGACAGCAUGACUUACGUGAAAGUGGUUCAUGCCCGCCUGCUGGAUCUUCAAACCAGGAAUGCCGUAAUGUACUACUUGAUCUUAGGUGCGGAGCAAAGAAAUCGCUGGCUGAUUCUCCUAAGCAAUGUCUGGCAUUAAAGUCUUGUGACAUCAGUACCACUCGUCCCCAUCAACUCCUUGUUGGUGGCAGUGAUGCGUUUGCUCGGUUGUAUGAUCGAAGAAUGCUUCCACCCUUGAGCUCUUGCCAGUUGAAAAUGAAGCCACCUCCUUGUGUUAAUUAUUUCUGCCCAAUGCAUCUUUCUGAGCGUAGAAAGUCAACAUUGCACCUGACACAUGUUACAUUCAGCCCAAACAGUGAAGAGCUGCUCUUGAGUUAUAGCGGCGAACAUGUUUACUUAAUGGAUGUUAACUAUGAUGGUCAGAGCAUUAUGAGAUACACUGCUGAUGAUGUUCCAAGGCAAUUGUAUAUAGAUCCUUUAUUUAAAGAAAUGAAAGUACCUUCACCACCAGAAGUUUCCUCAGACAACUUGCCUGAAAGAAAAUAUGAUUUGCGCAGGCUUGACAUGUGCAAGAAAUUGGUUCAAGACGCGGCAAAAGCUUUGGAUGAAGGCUCAAACUUAUUUUAUGGAAUAGAAGCGUGUAAUGAAGUACUGGAUGGAAAAGGUCCUGAGAUUGGCCUUGCACUACGACAUGAGUGCCUGUGUAUUCGAGCAGCAUUGCUUCUUAAGAGGAAGUGGAAAAAUGAUGUUCAUAUGGCCAUAAGGGAUUGCAACAAAGCUCGAUUUAUAAAUGCUUCAUCAGUUAAUGCGCACUAUUACAUGUCAGAAGCACUUCUUCAGUUAGGGAAAAAUAAAGAAGCUCUGGAGUAUGCAGAGGCGGCUCAUAAUUUGGCUCCAUUAAACUCUGAUGCUGCUGAAAUGGUAAAGAGAAUAAAAGAUCGUUUUGCUGCAGCUGAAGCUGAGAAAAGCAAAAAGGAUAAUGAAGAUACAGCUAAGAGUGAAGCACGGCAUGGAAGGUUAAGAUCCUUGAGUGAUGUACUCUUCUGGUCAGAGCUAAGUAGCCCGUCUCAAGAGUUUCGGUAUGACAGAGAAGAUUCUGAUUAUGAGGAAGAAAUGGAAUUGGACUUUGAAACAUCAAUAUCAGGAGAUGAGGGUCGUGAUAAUGAGCCAAGCAUUCUUCGAGGAAGUUUAAAUUUGAGGUUUCAUCGAAGAGAUGACUCAGCUAGAGAAAACUGCAGUACGGAUGGUUCACAUGGAUCUCCUUCAUCUUCCUCUCAACAUGAAAAUUCUUCUUAUCAGCCCGAGGUUGUGAUUGAUAUGAAACAAAGAUUUGUGGGCCAUUGCAAUGUGGGGACAGAUAUAAAGCAAGCUAGCUUUCUUGGUCAACAAGGAGAGUAUGUUGCUAGUGGAAGUGAUGAUGGUAGGUGGUUUAUUUGGGAGAAGAGAACAGGAAGGCUAAUUAAAAUGCUUGCUGGUGAUGAACAUGUUGUGAACUGUGUACAGUGCCAUCCAUUUGAUUGUGCUAUUGCAACUAGUGGAAUUGAUGACACAAUUAAGAUGUGGACACCGCAUGCAGAAGUUCCAUCAAUGGUUGCAGGAGGAACAGCAGAACCAGAGACUGCUGAUGUGUUGAGUGCUAUAGAAAACAAUCAGCGCAAAUUGUGCCGCAACCGUGAAGCUAUGCUGAUGUGACCAGCACAUUAAAGGGAUUUGUGUUGAUUUGAACCAUAUCAGUAAGCUUCAACUAGAAGGAUACUAGUUUACAAGGGCCAGUAAGAUGGUCAGACCAACCCAAAGUUUACUAUUUCACUUGUCUUUCGAAUUCUUGGAGCGAUUUAGGAUGCAUGAGUUUGCUGAAGGAACUUUACAUCCUUUUGAGUGUGCCCAGAGCUAAUAUGUUAUGUCUGCUCAACGCACAGGACUUGAACCAAGUUGACUGUUGAUAAUUGAAGAUGUUGGAGAAAGGAAAAAAAGGAACGGAGCAAUCUGGCAUUUGAGAUUGCUGCAGCAGGAGCAAAGCAUCCACUCAAUAUGCUUUUUGCAUUUUGACAAUAUGAUAAUACAAUAAGUGCUAACUGCAUGAUUAUGUUUCCAGAAAAUCCCAAGGCUUAGAAUUUGGAGUUGUUCAUGUACAGUGAGUGUGGAGUUCUUAUGUUGUUUAUAAACAUCUUCAUGGUGAUUUUGUUGGUUUAUUUUUCCAUCUGUCGGUAUCUUUUCUAAAGUACAUGGAAAAUUUUUGUUUGUAGACCGUCAUUGCUUUCAUGAUUAUCAUUUUAAUGUUCCAACCGCUCAAACCUUUGUACAGCAGUGUAAAAGAAUAGUACAUUCAUUAAGACAAAGCGAUGGUGCAUGAAACGUGUCGUAGGAUUGUGUUGUACAAAUGAAUCAAUGAAAUUGAAAUAGUUGAAGAACAAUGGGUGAAAGCCCAUUUUUUGAUGAA